rnacentral:rRNA from 1 species
AUUAGAAGAGACGCAUUUAUUAGAUAAAAAGCCAAUGCAUGCUUUUACAGUAUGGAAAUUGGUGAUUUAUAAUAACUUGGCAAAUCGCAAAGUGAAAACAGGCGAUAAAUCAUUCAAGUUUCUGACCUAUCAGCUUUCGACGGUAUGGUAUUGGCUUACCGUGGCAGUGACGGUUAACGGGGGAUUAGGGUUCGAUUCCGGAGAGGGAGCCUGAGAAACGGCUACCACAUCUAAGGAAGGCAGCAGGCGCGCAAAUUACCCAAUUCUAACAGUUUGAGAGAGGUAGUAACAAGAAAUAACAAUACAAGGCAAUUAAAAUGGUUUGUAAUUGGAAUGAUAGAAAUUUAAACCCUUUUUAAAGUAUCAAUUGGAGGGCAAGUCUGGUGCCAGCAGCCGCGGUAAUUCCAGCUCCAAUAGCGUAUAUUAAAAUUGUUGCAGUUAAAAAGCUCGUAGUUGAAGUUCUGCUAAAAGUAACCGGUCUGCUUUUAAUAAAAGUGGUAUCUUGUGUGUAUUUAGCAAUGAUGUCCUUUGAAGUGUUUUUUACUUUAUUGUAAUAAAGCAUAUCAGGACUUUUACUUUGAGAAAAUUAGAGUGUUUCUAGCAGGCCGACGCUUUGAAUACUGCAGCAU